rnacentral:rRNA from 1 species
CCUACGGGCGGCAGCAGUAGGGAAUCUUCCACAAUGGGCGAAAGCCUGAUGGAGCAACGCCGCGUGGGUGAAGAAGGUCUUCGGAUCGUAAAACCCUGUUGUUAGAGAAGAAAGUGCGGGAGAGUAACUGUUCACGUUUCGACGGUAUCUAACCAGAAAGCCACGGCUAACUACGUGCCAGCAGCCGCGGUAAUACGUAGGUGGCAAGCGUUAUCCGGAUUUAUUGGGCGUAAAGGGAACGCAGGCGGUCUUUUAAGUCUGAUGUGAAAGCCUUCGGCUUAACCGGAGUAGUGCAUUGGAAACUGGGAGACUGGAGUGCAGAAGAGGAGAGUGGAACUCCAUGUGUAGCGGUGAAAUGCGUAGAUAUAUGGAAGAACACCAGUGGCGAAAGCGGCUCUCUGGUCUGUAACUGACGCUGAGGUUCGAAAGCGUGGGUAGCAAACAGGAUUAGAUACCCCAGUAGUC